rnacentral:rRNA from 1 species
GACGAACGCUGGCGGCGUGCCUAAUACAUGCAAGUAGGACGCAGUUGCGAACGGGUGAGUAAUGCGUAGGUAAUUACCUAUUAGAGGGGGAUAACUAUUGGAAUCGAUAGCCAAUACCGUAUACUAGUCGAUGGACUUUCGUUGUAUUAGCUAGUAGGUAGGGUAAUGGCCUACCUAGGCAACGAUACAUAGCCGACCUGAGAGGGUGAUCGGCAACAAUGGGACUGAGACACGGCCCAGACUCCUACGGGAGGCAGCAGUAGGGAAUCUUCGGCAAUGGGGGGAAGCCUGACCGAGCAACGCCGCGUGAGUGAAGAAGGUUUUCGGAUCGUAAAGCUCUGUUGUUAAGGAAGCGGUACUUAACCAGAAAGGGACGGCUAACUACGUGCCAGCAGCCGCGGUAAUAC